rnacentral:lncRNA from 1 species
GGGACAGGGACGGUGCCACCGAGGGGACAGGGACGGUGCCACCGAGGGGACAGGGACAGUGACACCGAGGGGACAGGGACGGUGACACCGAGGGGACAGGGACGGGACAGGGAUGGUGACACCGAGGGGACACGGCUGGGACAGGGAUGGUGCCACCGCGGGGACAGGGAUGGUGCCACCGAGGGGACAGGGACGGGACAGGGACGGUGCCACCGAGGGGACAGGGACGGUGCCACCGGGCCAGCGGGAGCGGGGCGCUGCCGGGCCGGGAUCGGCUGCCCUCGGUCCGGCGGGCGCAGAGCCCGGCCGGGCUGUGCUCACUGAGGGACGCACAAAAUCCCAAAUCCCGGCCCUGAUCCUUCAGCUUCCAAAAAUAUCCUUCGGCGGGGCUGGGCAGGGACCGGGCACGGACCGGGCAGGGGCUGGGCAGGGACCGGGCACAGACCGGGCAGGGGCUGGGCAGGGACCGGGCACAGACCGGGC